CUACGGGACGCACCAGCUAAGAAUCUUCCGCAAUGGACGCAAGUCUGACGGAGCGACGCCGCGUGUGCGAAGAAUGUCGAGAGAUUGUAAAGCACUUUUAUAUGUGAGGAAUAAGCGUGUCAGGAAAUGGGCAUGUGAUGACGUUAGCAUAUGAAUAAGCUCCGGCCAAUUACGUGCCAGCAGCCGCGGUAACACGUAAGGAGCGGGCGUUGUUCGGAAUUAUUGGGCGUAAAGGGCAUGUAGGCGGUGAAAUAAGUCUGAUGUGAAAGCGUACAGCUCAACUGUAUUGUUGCGUUGGAAACUGUUUAACUUGAAUCCGAGAGGGGUGUGUGUAAUUCCUAGUGUAGGGGUGAAAUCUGUUGAUAUUAGGAAGAACAACAGAGGCGAAGGCGACACACUGGCUCUGGAUUGACGCUGAGGUGCGAAAGCGUAGGUAGCGAACAGGAUUAGAUACCCUUGUAGUC
rnacentral:rRNA from 1 species